GGCUGGUCCAAUGGUAGGUUAUCAGAACUUGCUAACAUUAGUGUCACUAAAGUUGGUAUACACCCUCCAAUGCUAAUUUGACUGGCUAUAA
rnacentral:Y_RNA from 1 species